CCUACGGGGGGCAGCAGUGGGGAAUAUUGGACAAUGGGGGGAACCCUGAUCCAGCCAUGCCGCGUGUGUGAAGAAGGCCCUCGGGUUGUAAAGCACUUUCAGUGAGGAAGAACGCCUGGUGGUUAAUACCCAUCAGGAAAGACAUCACUCACAGAAGAAGCACCGGCUAACUCCGUGCCAGCAGCCGCGGUAAUACGGAGGGUGCGAGCGUUAAUCGGAAUUACUGGGCGUAAAGCGCGCGUAGGUGGCUUGAUAAGCCGGUUGUGAAAGCCCCGGGCUCAACCUGGGAACGGCAUCCGGAACUGUCAAGCUAGAGUGCAGGAGAGGAAGGUAGAAUUCCCGGUGUAGCGGUGAAAUGCGUAGAGAUCGGGAGGAAUACCAGUGGCGAAGGCGGCCUUCUGGACUGACACUGACACUGAGGUGCGAAAGCGUGGGUAGCAAACAGGAUUAGAUACCCUUGCAGUC
rnacentral:rRNA from 1 species